AGUGAACGCUGGCGGUAGGCCUAACACAUGCAAGUCGAACGGCAGCACAGUAAGAGCUUGCUCUUACGGGUGGCGAGUGGCGGACGGGUGAGGAAUACAUCGGAAUCUACUUUUUCGUGGGGGAUAACGUAGGGAAACUUACGCUAAUACCGCAUACGACCUACGGGUGAAAGCAGGGGAUCUUCGGACCCUGCGCGAUUGAAUGCGCCGAUGUCGGAUUAGCUAGUUGGCGGGGUAAAGGCCCACCAAGGCGACGAUCCGUAGCUGGUCUGAGAGGAUGAUCAGCCACACUGGAACUGAGACACGGUCCAGACUCCUACGGGAGGCAGCAGUGGGGAAUAUUGGACAAAGGGCGCAAGCCUGAUCCAGCCAUACCGCGUGGGUGAAGAAGGCCUUCGGGUUGUAAAGCCCUUUUGUUGGGAAAGAAAAGCAGCAGGUUAAUACCCCGCUGUUCUGACGGUACCCAAAGAAUAAGCACCGGCUAACUUCGUG
rnacentral:rRNA from 1 species